rnacentral:rRNA from 1 species
GUGCCAGCCGCCGCGGUAAUACGGAGGAUCCAAGCGUUAUCCGGAUUUAUUGGGUUUAAAGGGUGCGUAGGCGGCCUGUUAAGUCAGGGGUGAAAGACGGUAGCUUAACUAUCGCAGUGCCCUUGAUACUGAUGGGCUUGAAUGUACUAGAAGUAGGCGGAAUGUGACAAGUAGCGGUGAAAUGCAUAGAUAUGUCACAGAACACCGAUUGCGAAGGCAGCUUACUAUGGUAUGAUUGACGCUGAGGCACGAAAGCGUGGGGAUCAAACAGGAUUAGAAACCUCUGUAGUCC